GAUGGAAGCACGCGCCGAGGUGACAGCGAUGCUCACUGCGUCUGUGUUGUGAUAGAGUAUUUGUCAAAUAAUCAGUCUCAUCAACAUGUGAGGGGAACAAGAUAUGGGCGAGCAAUCUAACACUAAGGUGCCCUACAAGAAGCUCCUAAUGCACGAUCAGAACAGCUUGUAGCUCCACUAGAUCGGCCAGGAAACCCGCCAGAAACACAGUUAGCACGUGGACAUCAUUCAACAUCCAAAUCCAAAAUGGUCGAAAGGAACAUCACCAGCUGACCAACAACAACUGGGAGGAUCACUAAGAUUGGAAGAAUGACAAUGGAAGAAUAGAAGAAGAGGAGGAAGAAACAGAUGAGCAGCAACUUGAGAAACUAAGAGGAGAAGGACAGGAGGAAAAGGAGGUGAAAAAGAAACCAGAUAGGGAAGCUGGUGAGGGUGCUGGUACAGCUACAGCCAUAGCCAGUCCCAGGAAACAUGCCAGGUCAGAAGGAGUGGCCACAGCACUUGAAGGUCACAAGCAGGGAAAGGAUCGUCAAGCAUAAGAGCACACAAUUUAAGCAAUGUACAAGUCCCCGUUAGGAGCAAAUGCAAGGCUCUGAGGGGACCGAAGUGUUGUGUGAGCAGCUAAAUCAGAAGGUGCAUCAUGGCUCAGUGGUGGACAAUGAAGAGGUCUUCCA
rnacentral:lncRNA from 1 species